rnacentral:rRNA from 1 species
CCUACGGGUGGCUGCAGUGGGGAAUAUUGGACAAUGGGGGGAACCCUGAUCCAGCCAUGCCGCGUGUGUGAAGAAGGUCCUCGGGUUGUAAAGCACUUUCAGUGAGGAAGAACGCCUGGUGGUUAAUACCCAUCAGGAAAGACAUCACUCACAGAAGAAGCACCGGCUAACUCCGUGCCAGCAGCCGCGGUAAUACGGAGGGUGCGAGCGUUAAUCGGAAUUACUGGGCGUAAAGCGCGCGUAGGUGGCUUGAUAAGCCGGUUGUGAAAGCCCCGGGCUCAACCUGGGAACGGCAUCCGGAACUGUCAAGCUAGAGUGCAGGAGAGGAAGGUAGAAUUCCCGGUGUAGCGGUGAAAUGCGUAGAGAUCGGGAGGAAUACCAGUGGCGAAGGCGGCCUUCUGGACUGACACUGACACUGAGGUGCGAAAGCGUGGGUAGCAAACAGGAUUAGAUACCCUAGUAGUC